GCUAGGAAGACCCAGUUGAGACAGCGGACACUAGAGCAGCCUGGAAGGGAACACCUGCCUACGAAGCCCCUAGGAGCAUGAGGUGUUUCCUCCCACAGCUUCCUGUCCUGCCCAGGGCUAAGAGGACAAGACUGGCAGAAGGACAACCAGCAAUGCUGAGGGACUGUGGCUCAAGGCACUGAUGUCAUUGCCUUGGGUUGCAGGAGUCUAACUCUGUCACCUAGGCUGGAGUGCAGUGGAGCAAUUGCGGCUCACUGCAGCCUCAACUUCCUGGGCUCAAGCAAUCCUCCCACCUCAGCCUCAUGAGUAGCUUGGACUACAGUGCCCGAGGGGCAAAACUGCAGCAGAGUGGCUCCUGUAUCCUCAGCACUCAACAUGGACCCCGUUGUUGGUGUUCAAGAAACAUUUGAGGAGCUGCACUUACUUGGAAUGAGAAAAAGUUACACCCAUGACCUCCAGUCUGUCCCUUCAGGAGAUAAAGC
rnacentral:lncRNA from 10 species